rnacentral:rRNA from 1 species
ACUCCUACGGGAGGCAGCAGUGGGGAAUUUUGGACAAUGGGCGAAAGCCUGAUCCAGCAAUGCCGCGUGAGUGAAGAAGGCCUUCGGGUUGUAAAGCUCUUUUGUCAGGGAAGAAACGGUGAGAGCUAAUAUCUUUUGCUAAUGACGGUACCUGAAGAAUAAGCACCGGCUAACUACGUUCCAGCAGCCGCGGUAAUACGUAGGGUGCAAGCGUUAAUCGGAAUUACUGGGCGUAAAGCGUGCGCAGGCGGUUUUGUAAGUCUGAUGUGAAAUCCCCGGGCUCAACCUGGGAAUUGCAUUGGAGACUGCAAGGCUAGAAUCUGGCAGAGGGGGGUAGAAUUCCACGUGUAGCAGUGAAAUGCGUAGAUAUGUGGAGGAACACCGAUGGCGAAGGCAGCCCCCUGGGUCAAGAUUGACGCUCAUGCACGAAAGCGUGGGGAGCAAACAGGAUUAGAUACCCGAGUAGUCC